CUUUUUUCUUUUUAAUUUCCCCCAUACGAAGUCGACAUCUAUCACAUUGACUUGUCUACUUCUAUUAGAUUGAGAAGCAAACUUUUUCUCUCUUCUUCUUCGUCGUCGGCGACCUUCGACAAGUCGCAGGUCACUCUGGUCUCUGUGGCUUCUAGCAAAGGAAGGCGAGAAGAGUUCCACACCGAAACGAUGAUGGAUGAGGCGUCGGGGAAUCUGGAGUACGAUUUCUAUUGGAACCCAAAAAAGUGAAGGCAGAGACCAUUGUGAGGUCGAAGAUGGCUUGGAUUUACGGCCAGCAGAGGAAUGUCUCAGCUCAGUUGCCGCGUCUCUUUUUCCAUGACUGCUUCAUUGAGAUGGAUUUCCUUCAACACAUGAUCAUAAUCUUGUACUCCCAAGUUCAGCUCAAUGUCACUUUACCAUUUUCCGAAAUUUGAGUCAUCUUGUAGUUCAACUUGAUGCUCAAAGGAAAAUGCCUAGAUGAAUGUGAAGUUGAUCAGUAAAAUCAUUCUAGUUUAUCAUAAUACUAGAAUUGUCUGUACGUCCCAAAAAAUGAAAAUUCAUGAUUUGAACAUUCAUUUCACACCAAAUGCAUAUGUUCAGAAAAUAGAACUCAACCAUUUUCAAGAUUUUGAUAUCCUUUGGGGUGUACUAAUCUCUAAUGAUAUCUGAAUGUUCAAUUUUGAUCAUAUACAAAAUCAACAACCAAAUGUUUGAUACCAGACUUCUUUGGAAAUAAGGAUCAAAUUAAAUUUUAAGUUGCUUGAUUUUAUUGUUGAAAACCAAACAAGACAAUUAAUCUUCUUUACACUAAGCCAUUUUGACAGCAUUUAGCAUUUAAGAAGAUUAAAUUGACUUUAUAUCAACAAUGUGAUCAUGGCCAAUCUAAAAGCCAUUUACCGAAAUAUGUAUGUAUAUAUGCAGAAAAUGAACUCUUCUAUUUUCGAGAUUUUGACGUCCUUUGUGGAGUACUAAUCUCUAAUAGUUCUAAAUGUUCAUUCACCUAAUAUAUACAAGAUUAUGAAACCAAAUGUUUGAUGUAAAUUUCUUUGGAAAUUAUACUCAAAUUUAAUUUUAAGUCUCAUAAUCUCAUUCUGAUGAAACUGAAUACAGUGUAAUUGCUAUAUAUUGGCCACUUUGACAGCACUUUAUUAUGCAACAUAUAACUGAAUUCAUACUAAAUAUUUCACCAGCAUAUUUGAUCCUUUAGAAUCUUCAUAUAUGAGACCACUUUGGCAGCACACCACAUAUGAAGUUUUCAAGAUCAAUAUCAGAAACUUUAAACAUGCAUAUCCAUCAUUUUGCAUUUCGAAAUAAUAUGGAAAACAUAAAUAUGCACUGAGAUGAAUAUGAUGUAAUCUUCAUAUGAAAUAGAAGUCCUGUAUUGGAUCAAAGGUGCUAUAAGAAUCUACCUUUGGUUAAACUUAAUAAGCUGAUAUCAGAAAAUUUCUGUGACUGACUCCUGACUUUGGAAAUUCAUAACUAUUCCCAGAAAAUUCCUUUUUGUGUGAUUCCAAUUCCAAAUGACUCUUUAAGAUGUCUAUUAAAAUUCUUUAGAAUAGACUGACCUCAAAUUCCCAGUAGAUCAGUACGUACAGUUUUGAAAAAGUAAGUGACUGAGUCGAAAGUCCAGAAAAUCUGAAAGUGGUUAAAAUCUCUUUCUUUGGCCAAAAACCUUUUUAUCACCCAAUUUCCCAACCAAGAAAAGCAUUGUUAUUUCUAAGCAAUGUUCUAAGGCUAUUGCUCAGAUGGAAAGCACAUCAAUUAAACAUGUAAACAUCCUAUGUCCCCAUGAUACAAUGCUGAAUAUGUAAUGUAUGAAUGGCAAAGCAAAUUUGAUCUUGUUGCUGACCAUUAAGUCAACAGUUAUCUCUAACUAUGUAAACACUUGGACAUAUAUAGCAAUUGAGAGACAAUUAAAAUAGCAACAGCUAGCAUUUUGUCAAGAUCUGUCAUGCAAAUCAUGUAGGUAUAACUGACUAUGAAUUUUGGUUAAUCUUGAGUAUGCUAUUAUACAGAUCAACACAUGCUAGAUAAUUAAGAUGACUAUGCUAAAUAUGAGAUUGUAAAUCAACAACAAUAUGAAUCAAAGCCAAAAUAUAAUCUGCACCAAAUUAAAUAUUAAAACCAGAAAACAAAACUGAAGAGUAUGUGAUACUAACAAGAUGCAGUUCCAGAAUCCAUUGAUGCUUCUCCAAUAUCCAUUCAUCAAUUAUAAUCCAAGUAAUACAUAAACACAUACCAAUUAAUCUAGCCACACAUAAAUCGAAAGCUGAUAUUUUGGAUACAUAUCUCAUCUAUUCAUAAAGCAAGACUUGGAUCGACACCAACUUGGUAGAAGGCACUAUUUGCUGAUCAACAGAAGUGAUAGAGAUUGGUGAUUGCCUUAAUUGCUCUCUGGUCGUUUUCUCCUCCUCUCACUAAAUGAGGGUAAUGGAUACUAAAUUUGGGAGAACCCAAUUUCAUUUACAUCAAUCCAGAGCAAAAUGGAUUUGCAAAGGUGAGAGUAUGCAUGUGUGGAUAGAUGCAUCAGAUAUGCAAUAUACAUGUAGAAAACUGUAUGCGGAUUAUAUGAACAAAAAAAAUUCCAAGAAUUCACAAUUGUAAUGCAGUUAGUUUCUUCAACAUGUAAUUGAUCUAUGUAUAGUUGCUCUGAUACCAAUUGUUAGAAACAGUAUGCUUAAGCAAUCACAAACACAUAAUUUAGAACCUAUACUAGAUCAAAUCAUGUAUAUUCAAAAACUGAAUUCUGUUCCAACCGUAUUUGGAAAUCUCCUUGAGUUAAAUCCAAGUGAGAAGAAAUAUCCUUGAGGAAGAUUCAAGUGAGGUGAAAUCUCCUCUAGACAGAUCUUGGAGAGGUAAUAUCCCCUUGAGAUGGAUCCAAGUGAGGAAGAAAAUCCUUAACGGAUCCCUUUGAGACAUAUCUAAUCCUCUUCAAUGGAAACUGAUUUCCAUUCAAACUCUAACACUGAAUGUAAGUAUGAAAUAGGGAUUGAAAACAUCAUGUAUAUCCUAUGUAUGCAUAUUGUAUAAACUGUAUAAUAUGUAAAGCAAUAUAAAUGAAAUCACCAUGCAUCAUUAGAUUCUGCAUUUAGGCUUGGGAUUGAAGUUAUUGUAUCAACUCUGUAU